GUGCUCCCUUCGGCAGUACAUGUACUAAAAAUUUGGAACCAUACAGAGAAGAUUAGGAUGCACAUGGAUGACACGCAAAUUCAUGAAGCAUUCCACAUUAAC